UACGAAGGGGGCUAGCGUUGCUCGGAAUUACUGGGCGUAAAGCGCACGUAGGCGGUUUCUUAAGUCGGUGGUGAAAUCCUGGAGCUCAACUCCAGAACUGCCUUCGAUACUGGGAAACUUGAGUCCGGGAGAGGUGAGUGGAACUGCGAGUGUAGAGGUGAAAUUCGUAGAUAUUCGCAAGAACACCAGUGGCGAAGGCGGCGACCUGGACAGGCACUGACACUCAACUACGAAAGCGUGGGGAGCAAACAGG
rnacentral:rRNA from 1 species